GACGAACGCUGGCGGCGUGCUUAACACAUGCAAGUCGAACGGUAAGGCCCUUCGGGGUACACGAGUGGCGAACGGGUGAGUAACACGUGGGUGAUCUGCCCUGCACUUCGGGAUAAGCCUGGGAAACUGGGUCUAAUACCGGAUAGGACUCCGGACUGCAUGGUCGGGGGUGGAAAGCUUUUGCGGUGUGGGAUGGGCCCGCGGCCUAUCAGUUUGUGGGUGGGGUGGUGGCCGACCAAGGCGACGACGGGUAGCCGGCCUGGGAGGGUGACCGGCCACACUGGGACUGAGAUACGGCCCAGACUCCUACGGGAGGAAGCAGUGGGGAAUAUUGCACAAUGGGCGCAAGCCUGAUGCAGCGACGCCGCGUGAGGGAUGACGGCCUUCGGGUUGUAAACCUCUUUCAGCAUCGACGAAGCGAAAGUGACGGUAGGUGCAGAAGAAGGACCGGCCAACUACGUGCCAGCAGCCGCCGUAA
rnacentral:rRNA from 1 species